GACGAACGCUGGCGGCGUGCUUAACACAUGCAAGUCGAACGGAAAGGCCCUGCUUGCAGGGUACUCGAGUGGCGAACGGGUGAGUAACACGUGGGUGAUCUGCCCUGCACUUCGGGAUAAGCCUGGGAAACUGGGUCUAAUACCGGAUAGGAGCCAUUUUUAGUGUGAUGGUUGGAAAGUUUUUUCGGUGUAGGAUGAGCUCGCGGCCUAUCAGCUUGUUGGUGGGGUAAUGGCCUACCAAGGCGGCGACGGGUAGCCGGCCUGAGAGGGUGGACGGCCACAUUGGGACUGAGAUACGGCCCAGACUCCUACGGGAGGCAGCAGUGGGGAAUAUUGCACAAGGGGCGCAAGCCUGAUGCAGCGACGCCGCGGGGGGGAUGACGGCCUUCGGGUUGUAAACGCCUUUCGCUAGGGACGAAGCUUUUUGUGACGGUACCUAGAUAAGAAGCACCGGCUAACUACGUG
rnacentral:rRNA from 1 species